rnacentral:misc_RNA from 1 species
GCAAACUUGGUCAUUUAGAGGAAGUAAAAGUCGUAACAAGGUUUCCGUAGGUGAACCUGCGGAAGGAUCAUUAAAAUUUUUUUUUUGAACCUUUUUUUAUGGAUCAAAAAAAAAUCCAUAAAUCCACCUUGUGUGCAACUAUUGAAAAAAAAAAGUAGCCUUUUUGGAGAUAAGAGGAUCUCUUAUCUCCAGAGGGUAUGUUUAAUCUACAAUUUUUUUGAUGACUUAAUUUUUAAUAUAAAAAAUAAAAAUCAACUUUCAACAACGGAUCUCUUGGCUCUCGCAUCGAUGAAGAACGCAGC